rnacentral:rRNA from 1 species
AGUGAACGCUGGCGGCGUGCCUAAUACAUGCAAGUCGAACGGAGUGGCGCACGGGUGAGUAAUAUAUAGCUACCCGCCCCUUGCUUGAGGAUAACAGUUAGAAAUGACUUCUAAAAAUCCAUUGCAAGGGAUGGGACUUUAUCGUAUCAGCUAGUCGGUGGGGUAACGGCCUACCGAGGCUAUGACGCGUAACUGGUCUGAGAGGAUGAUCAGUCACAUUGGAACUGAGACACGGUCCAAACUCCUACGGGAGGCAGCAGUAGGGAAUAUUGCGCAAUGGGGGAAACCCUGACGCAGCAACGCCGCGUGGAGGAUGACACUUUUCGGAGCGUAAACUCCUUUUGUUAGGGAAGCGGUACCUAACGAAUAAGCACCGGCUAACUCCGUGCCAGCAGCCGCGGUAAUAC